rnacentral:lncRNA from 1 species
UGACACUUUACCCUCAUAUGGAAUGACAUGAACUAAUUAAACCCCCUCAAGGACUUAUUGUGAUGUGCUAUAAAAGUUGCACCUCAUCACAUUAUGUACCCCAAGUCGAACAAUAAUGAUAUGAUUACAAUAAAUUUAAUUAGGGUUCAUUUCACUUCACAGAAUAAAAGGGUGGCGCCUUUACACUCAAAAAGUUAAUUUGAAAUAUAAAAUUACAGAAUUUACCUUUUCAAGAUGUAAAGGUGGCGUGGGAAACAACAAGUUAGAGUCAUUUACUUGAUUCAUUCUCUGGUCAAACCCCUAGACCUAGAUGACUAUACAUUCUUCCCCAGUUUUUUCUUUUUUCCAACUCAUCACUUCCCUGUGAUUCUAGACAGCCCAAUGUCAUGCCCAAUUAAGAUGAAAACUGUAGAUCACUGUCGACACUCGACAUGCCUCCGCUAUUUAUGACAGUUUCUUCCUACACCUUCCUUUUUGCUUCCUGUACCUCCAAAAAGACCUGAACAGACACAAAUACCCCUGCCUCUCCCAAGCA